rnacentral:tRNA from 1 species
GGGAUUGUGGCUCAGCGGUAGAGCACUUGCCUAGCAAGCAUGAGGUACUGGGUUCAAUCCUCAGUACCA